GUAGGUGGCAAGCGUUGUCCGGAAUUAUUGGGCGUAAAGCGCGCGCAGGCGGUUCUUUAAGUCUGAUGUGAAAGCCCACGGGCUCAACCGUGGAGGGUUAUUGGAAACUGGAGAACUUGAGUACAGAAGAGGAAAGCGGAAUUCCACGUGUAGCGGUGAAAUGCGUAGAGAUGUGGAGGAACACCAGUGGCGAAGGCGGCUUUCUGGUCUGUAACUGACGCUGAGGCGCGAAAGCGUGGGGAGCAAACAGGAUUAGAUACCCUGGUAGUCCACGCCGUAAACGAUGAGUGCUAAGUGUUAGGGGGUUUCCGCCCCUUAGUGCUGCAGCUAACGCAUUAAGCACUCCGCCUGGGGAGUACGGCCGCAAAGGCUG
rnacentral:rRNA from 1 species